UGGCCCUUCGUCCAAUGGCAGGACAUCAGACUUUGGAUCUGAGAAUGGUGGUUCGAAUCCACCAGGGCCAA
rfam:Gemmatimonadetes bacterium SCN 70-22 ABS52_C0015, whole genome shotgun sequence.